rnacentral:rRNA from 1 species
CACGCCGUAAACGAUGUCAACUAGCCGUUGGGAACCUUGAGUUCUUAGUGGCGCAGCUAACGCACUAAGUUGACCGCCUGGGGAGUACGGUCGCAAGAUUAAAACUCAAAUGAAUUGACGGGGGCCCGCACAAGCGGUGGAGCAUGUGGUUUAAUUCGAAGCAACGCGAAGAACCUUACCUGGCCUUGACAUGCAGAGAACUUUCCAGAGAUGGAUUGGUGCCUUCGGGAACUCUGACACAGGUGC